AGCAGCUGCUCGGGACAGAGGGACAACUGCUCGAGACAGAGGGGCAGCUGCUCGGGACAGAGGGGCGAUAGCAGCUUCGGACAGAGGGGCGAUAGCAGCUCGGGACAGAGGGGCGAUAGCAGCUCGGGACAGAGGGGCGAUAGCAGCUCGGGACAGAGGGGCGGCAGCUGCUCGGGACAGAGGGGCAGCUGCUCGGGACAGAGGGGCAGCUGCUCAGGACAGAGGGACAGCUGCUCGGGACAGAGGGACAGCUGCUCGGGACAGAGGGGCGGCAGCAGCUUGGGACAGAGGGGCGACAGCUGCUCUGGACAGAGGGGCAGCUGCUCGGGCGGCCCCUGGCUGACUGGCGGCACUGGCGGCCCCUGGCUUACUGGCGGCCCCUGGCUGACUGGCGGCACUGGCGGCCCCUGGCUUACUGGCGGCCCCUGGCUGACUGGCGGCACUGGCGGCCCCUGGCUGACUGGCGGCACUGGCGGCCCCUGGCUUACUGGCGGCCCCUGGCUGACUGGCGGCACUGGCGGCCCCUGGCUUACUGGCGGCCCCUGGCUUACUGGCGGCACUGGCGGCCCCUGGCUGACUGGCGGCACUGGCGGCCCCUGGCUGACUGGCGGCACUGGCGGCCCCUGGCUGACUGGCGGCACUGGCGGCCCCUGGCUGACUGGCGGCACUGGCGGCCCCUGGCUGACUGGCGGCACUGGCGGCCCCUGGCUGACUGGCGGCACUGGCGGCCCCUGGCUGACUGGCGGCACUGGCGGCCCCUGGCAGACGGGCGGCACUGGCGGCUCCUGGCAGACGGGCGGCACUGGCGGCUCCUGGCAGACGGGCGGCACUGGCGGCUCCUGGCAGACGGGCGGCACUGGCGGCUCCUGGCAGACGGGCGGCACUGGCGGCUCCUGGCAGACGGGCGGCACUGGCGGCUCCUGGCAGACGGGCGGCGCUGGGCAGACGGGCAGCACUGGCGGCGCUGGGCAGACGGGCAGCACUGGCGGCGCUGGGCAGACGGGCAGCACUGGCGGCGCUGGGCAGACGGGCGGCACUGGCGGCGCUGGGCAGACGGGCGGCACUGGCGGCGCUGGGCAGACGGGCGGCACUGGCGGCGCUGGGCAGACGGGCGGCACUGGCGGCGCUGGGCUGACGAGCGGCACUGGCGGCGCUGGAGAGGAGGAAGGCUCUGGAAGCGCCGGACUGAGUAGCUCUCGUAGCGCCGAACAGGCGGGAGACUCCGGCAGCGCUGGAGAGGAGGAAGGCUCUGGUAGCGCCGGAGAGGCGGGAGACUCCGGCAGCGCUGGAGAGGAGAGAGCCCCUGCAAGGAUGGGCCGGAGAGACAGCCUGGUACGGGGAGCUGCCACCGGAGGGCUGGUGCGUGGAGGUGGUGACGGAUACACUGGAGCUCUUGAGCACCGAGCCUGCCCAACCUUACCCGGUUGA
rnacentral:lncRNA from 1 species